GAUCCUGGCUCAGAACGAACACUGGCGGCAGGCUUAACACAUGCAAGUUGAACGGGAUUUGUGUGGUGCUUGCACCAUAUAAUGAGAGUAGCGCACUGGUGAGUAACACGUGGGAACGUGCCUUUUAGUGGGGGAUAACAUCUGGAGACGGAUGCUAAUACCGCAUACGCCCUGAGGGGGAAAGAUUUAUUGCUAAGAGGUCGGCCCGCGGUAGAUUAGGCAGUUGGUGGGGUAAAGGCCUACC
rnacentral:rRNA from 1 species